UACAGAGACUGCAAGCGUUAUUCGGAUUCACUGGGCGUAAGGGUGCGCAGGCGGCCGUGUGUGUGAGGCGUGAAAGCCCGGAGCUCAACUCCGGAAUUGCACCUCAAACUACACGGCUAGAGCAUUGGAGAGGGUAGCGGAAUUCACGGUGUAGCAGUGAAAUGCGUAGAUAUCGUGAGGAACACCAGAGGCGAAGGCGGCUACCUGGACAAUUGCUGACGCUCAGGCACGAAAGCGUGGGGAGCAAAAGGG
rnacentral:rRNA from 1 species